GUGGCGAACGGGUGAGUAAUGCAUCGGAACGUGCCCAUGUCGUGGGGGAUAACGUAUCGAAAGGUACGCUAAUACCGCAUACGUCCUGAGGGAGAAAGCGGGGGAUCUUCGGACCUCGCGCGAUUGGAGCGGCCGAUGUCGGAUUAGCUAGUAGGUGAGGUAAAGGCUCACCUAGGCGACGAUCCGUAGCGGGUCUGAGAGGAUGAUCCGCCACACUGGGACUGAGACACGGCCCAGACUCCUACGGGAGGCAGCAGUGGGGAAUUUUGGACAAUGGGCGCAAGCCUGAUCCAGCCAUGCCGCGUGAGUGAAGAAGGCCUUCGGGUUGUAAAGCUCUUUCGGCCGGGAAGAAAUCG
rnacentral:rRNA from 1 species